GUGUCAGCACCGCGGUAAUACGUAGGUAGCAAGCGUUAUCCGGAAUUAUUGGGCGUAAAGCGCGCGUAGGCGGUUUUUUAAGUCUGAUGUGAAAGCCCACGGCUCAACCGUGGAGGGUCAUUGGAAACUGGAAAACUUGAGUGCAGAGGAGGAAAGUGGAAUUCCAUGUGUAGCGGUGAAAUGCGCAGAGAUAUGGAGGAACACCAGUGGCGAAGGCGACUUUCUGGUCUGUAACUGACGCUGAUGUGCGAAAGCGUGGGGAUCAAACAGGAUUAGAAACCCCAGUAGUCC
rnacentral:rRNA from 1 species